rnacentral:rRNA from 1 species
GAAACGGUGGCUAAUACCGGAUAUGCCGAAAGGUGAAAGGUUAACUGCCUGGAGAUGAGCUCGCGUCUGAUUAGCUAGUUGGUANGGUAAAAGCUUACCAAGGCGACGAUCAGUAGCUGGUCUGAGAGGACGAUCAGCCACACUGGGACUGAGACACGGCCCAGACUCCUACGGGAGGCAGCAGUGGGGAAUUUUCCGCAAUGGGCGAAAGCCUGACGGAGCAAUACCGCGUGAGGGAGGAAGGCUCUUGGGUUGUAAACCUCUUUUCUCAGGGAAGAAAAAUGACGGUACUUGAGGAAUAAGCAUCGGCUAACUCCGUGCCAGCAGCCGCGGUAAUACGGAGGAUGCAAGCGUUAUCCGGAAUGAUUGGGCGUAAAGCGUUCGCAGGUGGCAUUGAAAGUCUGCUGUCAAAGAGUCUGGCUCAACCAGAUACAGGCAGUGGAAACUUCAAAGCUAGAGUGCGGUAGGGGCAGAGGGAAUUCCUGGUGUAGCGGUGAAAUGCGUAGAGUUCAGGAAGAACACCGGUGGCGAAAGCGCUCUGCUAGGCCGCAACUGACACUGAGGGACGAAAGC